rnacentral:rRNA from 1 species
UACGUAGGAGACGAGCGUUGUCCGGAGUUACUGGGCGUAAAGGGCGCGUAGGUGGUGGCUUAAGCGUGCGGUGAAAGCUCGGGGCUCAACCCCGAGUCGGCCGUGCGAACUGGGCUCACUGGAGCAUAGUAGAGGCAGGUGGAAUUCCGGGUGUAGCGGUGGAAUGCGUAGAGAUCCGGAAGAACACCAAUGGCGAAGGCGAGCCUUCGUCGG